rnacentral:rRNA from 1 species
CCCUUAGAUGCUCUGGGCCGCACGCGCGCUACACUGGUCGAUGCAACGAGUUUCUUUCCUUGGCCGACAGGCCUGGGCAAUCUUUGAACAUCGAUCGUGAUCGGGAUAGAUUCUUGUAAUUUUUGAUCUUAAACGAGGAAUUCCUAGUAAACGCAAGUCAUCAGCUUGCAUUGAUUACGUCCCUGCCCUUUGUACACACCGCCCGUCGCACCUACCGAUUGAAUGGUCCGGUGAAAUCCUCGGAUCGAGCCGUGGGGCAACUCCGGUUCGAGAAGUUGAUUAAACCUUACCAUUUAGAGGAAGGUGAAGUCGUAACA